rnacentral:ncRNA from 1 species
GAUGACUGGCCCGUGGCGACCAAGCGUUCAUAGCGACGUCGCUCUGUGAUCCUUCGAGGUCGGCUCAUCCUAGUGUUGUGACGCAGAAUUCACAAAGCGUUGGAUUGUUCACCCACUUUGGACUGCAUUCAAAAACAGCCGG